rnacentral:rRNA from 1 species
UACGAAGGGGGCUAGCGUUGUUCGGAUUACUGGGCGUAAAGCGCGCGUAGGCGGCUUUGUAAGUUAGAGGUGAAAGCCCGGGGCUCAACUCCGGAACUGCCUUUAAGACUGCAUCGCUUGAACAUCGGAGAGGUAAGUGGAAUUCCGAGUGUAGAGGUGAAAUUCGUAGAUAUUCGGAAGAACACCAGUGGCGAAGGCGACUUACUGGA